CAGAUACAUUUUGCAGAGGCACCAGAAAACUAAAGAAUGAUUGGGUUAUUUCUCAAAAUUAUUUGAAGCAGAUACUUGUGAAGUCAUUGGGAGAGUCCUUAUAGGACAGUUCUUCGAGAUAAUGCAAUACCAACAAUAUUUGAUCUUACCAGUCAUUUGAACAAUCCACAUAGUAGACACAGAAAACGAAUAAAAGAAUUG